GGCAGUAGCUCAGUUGGGUAGAGCAACGGGCUGAUAACCCGUGGGUCGCGGGUUCGAAUCCCGCCUAGUCGCCU
rnacentral:tRNA from 1 species